GGAAUCAACAAAUCUGUACGAUGAGAAUACAAGAACGUGAAGUUUUCCUAUGGGUUCAGCAGCCUCUCAAAGAUAAGUACAUAAGUCUCUAUACUAAUUUGCAAGACUCUACUAAACCUACUCAUAACUCAUGAGAACUAUGUAACCUAAGCUCUGAUACUAACGUGUCACGAUCCAAAACUCGACAUGUCGUAAUGGCGCCUAUCAUGGUACUAGGCAAGCCGACAUCUCACAUACUCCAACAAUUUCAAAAACCCAAAUAUACUGAAAUAGAUUUAAAUAAUUAAGAAUCUCAUAAAAACUAGAUAUAAACAUCGAAACUUAGUACAAAAUUCUCCCAAAAGAUCUAGGUGUCACGGAAUACCUGAGCAUCUACAUAUCAACAUAGUCUGACCAAUGGAACAUUACGUAGGAAUGUAGAACAGUAUAAAUAAGACUAAAAGAUAAAAGAGGAGAGUCAAGGUCUGCGGAUGCCAUGGCAGCUACCUCGACGAUAUCCGAACUGAUGAAAUGUCAGGAAUCAACAACCGACAUGCCCGAAAAUGCCUGGAUCUGCACACGAGGUGCAGGGUGUAGUGUGAGUACAAUCAACGCAAUAAGUAUCGCAAAUAAAUAAUUCAAGGUAAGAGAAGCUUAAUUUGUUGAGGUCACUAGUUAAAUCAGUGCAAUUAUGUCCUUUUUGAUUAACCUAGUAUAAAAUUUAAAGCUAGCUCAUAAGGCUUCGUGAAACGAAUAUCCGUGUGUGCACUGGUUCUCAAAUACCCUUCUCAACAAUAUCAUAGAAUGUAGAGGAAAGAAACACGGACAACUCACGUGCCAAUAACAUAAUCCGCCCGGAAGAGCCACAUGCCCUAGUCCAAAAUAUCAUACAUGCGAAAUAAAACAAGUAUACAGGUAUAUAAUGGAUGAAAUACAAUUCUCCUAUCCCUGGACUAGUGUAAAUAAUAUGUUAAAGUGUAGGUAUAUGCAAAUUGUGGUAUCAUAGCUCAAUCCGGCAAUUUCAUCAAUGAAAAGCAUUUAUCAAGUUCGUUCAGGGAUCAAACCUCUAAGUAGACUCAUCACGGAUCAAUUAGAUCACAUAAAUUGUUACAUGUUAGAUAUCGAAGCUCGAAGCUUAACAGUCAUUUCUGGGCUUAUAGGAGCUCGAGCACAACCCAAACUGAUGCACCAUGAUGAGCUGGACAAGUCAUCUGAGCGAGCCUAUAAGGAUGACCCCUGUUGUGGUAGGACUGUCCCCAGAAGGAACACCACUACCACCCCAACUACUAGGCCUCUUAGCCUCUCUCUCCUCAUGUUCCUGACUAUGGACCAUCUCUAUCUACCGAGCAAUAUUAACCACCUCGCCGAACGUAGCACCGGAUACCCUCUCCCGAGUCAUAAGCAACUGCAACUGAUAGGUGAGGCCAUCAAUCAAUCUCCUAAUCCUCUCCCUCUCAGUGGGAACCAAGCAACUGCAUGACGAGCCAACUCUGAGAACCUCCCCGCAUACUAGGUCACAAACAUGCCAUCCUGACGUAGCUACUCAAAUGCGCAGCUCCUCCCUGCGAGACUAUGGCACGAACUUCUCCAAGAAGAGAAUGGAGAACUCAUUCCAUGUAAGUAGUGUUGCACCGACCGACAUGUGCCUUUUAUAAGCCUCCCACCAUCUGAAGGCAACCCUAGUAAACUGAAAAGUAGUGAAUGAGAGAUUACUGGUCUCAAGAAUACUUGUCGUGCAAAAUAUCCGUUGGCACCUAUCCAAAAAGUCUUGAGAAUCCUCAGACUCAGCCCCCACUGAAUGAUGGAGGCUGGAGUCUCCCAAAUCUCUCUAGUCUCCUCUGCUCAUUAUCAGUCAUAAUGGGACCCACCUAGGCCUGAGAAACUGUAAUCGGUUGGGCUGGUAGUACCCCCGAUAUCUGAAAUCCCUACAUCACCUGCUCUGGAGUAUGGGAGGUGGAAGUCUGAGUACCUCCCCCGACCUAAGAAGUGGCUGCUGUGCCGGAACAGAAACUACCCAAGCAAGGGCACAGUCAAAAUCUGAGCCAAAGCCUCCUGAAGGGCUGGAAUCACAAUGGGCACAGCUGGUGCCUGAGCUAGCCCCACUGGCUCAACCAUAUCUGGUACCUACUUUUGAGCUAGAGCAACUGGUGGGUCUGCAGGUGUUGCUCUAGCUGUUGUACGAGCUGCACCUCUGCCCCUACUGCAGCCCAUACCACGACCCCAACCUCUCGUGGCCCUAGCCAGUGGUACUGGUGGCCGUCCGUCCUGACCGGUAGCACUUGUGCUCACCAUUUGUGAGAGAAUAAAAUAACAUAAGUUUAGUUACCAGAAUCAACAAAUCUGCACAACGAGAAUAUAAGAAUGUGAAGUUUUCCUUAGGGUUUGGCAGCCUCUCAAAGAUAAGUACAGACGUCUCUGUACUGAUCUGCAACACUUUACUAAACCUGCUCAUGACUCAUGAAACAUAUGUAACCUAAGCUCUGAUACUAACGUGUCACGACCCAAAACUCGACAUGUCGUAACGGUGCCUAUCAUGGUACUAGGCAAGCCGACAUCUCACACAUUCCAACAAUUUUAAAACCCAAAUAUACUGAAAUAGAUUUUAAUAAUUAAGAAUCUCGUAAAAAUUGGAUAUAAACAUCGAAACUUCGUAUAAAAUUCUCCCAAAAGAUCUAGGUGUCACGGAGUACAUAAGCAUCUACAUAUCAACAUAGUUUGACCAAUGGAGCACUGCCUAGGAAUGUAGAACAGUAUAAAUAAGACUAAAAGAUAAAAGAGGAGAGUCAAGGUCUGCGGAUUCCAAGGCAGCUACCUCGAUGAUCUCCGAACUGAUGAAUUGUCAGGAAUCAGCAACCGACAUGCCCGAAAAUGCAUGGAUCUGCACACGAGGCUUAGGGUGUAGUGUGAGUACAACCAACGCAAUAAGUAUCGCAAAUAAACAAGGCAAGGUAAAAGAAGCUUAAUUUGUUGAGGUCACUAGUUAAAUCAGUGCAAUUAUGUCCUUUUUGAUUAACCUAGUAUAAAAUUUAAAGCUAGCUCAUAAGGCUUUGUGAAACGAAUAUUUGUGUGUGCAUGUGCACUGGUUCUCAAAUACUCUUCCGAACAGUAUCAUAGAAUGUAGAGGAAAGAAACACGAACAACUCACGUGCCAAUAACAUAAUCCGCCCAGCAUAGCCACAUGCCCUAGUCCAAAAUAUCAUACAGGAGCAAUAAAGCAAGUAUACAGGUAUAUAAUGGAUGAAAUACGAUUCUCCUAUCCCUGGACUAGUGUAAAUAAUAUGUUAAAGUGUAGGCAUGUGCAAAGUGUGGUAUCAUAGCUCAAUCCGGCAAUUUCAUCAAUGAAAAGCAUUUAUCAAGUUCGUUCAGGGAUUAAACCUCUAAGUAGACUCAUCAUGGCUCAAUUAGAUCACAUAAAUUGUUACCACAUGUUAGAUAUCGAAGCUCGAAAGCUUAACAAUCAUUUCUGGGCUUAUAGGAGCUCGAGCACAACGCAAACAUGAAUAUUUAAUCCUGGUGUCACACCUCCUUUUUACUCCCCCCCCCCCCCCCGAGAGGGUAUAUAAGGGAGUUUUUCCAAUUAACGUGACAUUAUUCGAAAUAGAAUUAUUUAUUUAAAUCAGAGUCGCCACUUGGAAUAGUUUAAUUUGGUGUCCCAAGUCACCGGUUUAUUUUAAAAUCUCAAAUCGAGGAAAUUCGACUUUUAUUUUUAAAGUCUGCGAACCAGAAAUUCUAGAUAAGGAAUUCUGUUAACCCGGGAGAAGGUGUUACGCUUUCCGGGUUCUGUGGUUCUAGCACGGUCGCUUAAACUAUUAAAAUUGGCCUAUUAUCUGAUUUACUACAUGUUUUAAAUCUAUUGUGCAUUUUUAACUUAUUAACCGCUUUUAAUUAUUUUUAAAACACUUUUAGGAAGAUUCAACGUUAUUUAAAACAUGCCUUGAACCACGCCACAUGAAAUGCAUCCGCGGUUCGGGACACGUUCUAUUUAACAUUGUUAAGAAUUGAAAUUGGGUCACAUGAAAUGUACACCCGAAUUUAAUAAUUAAAAGAAAACCAAUUUAAAGAACGCGCCUAAAGCAACUACGAAGGUUCAAAUUAAUAAAAAAAUUUGUGAGGGCCAUGGAAAGUUUAAUUGAUGGCACACCUCGGUUUUUAAAGAGUUAGUAUUAAUUACGUGAGGGCCAUGAGUUUAUUUAAUGAAAAUGGCACACCUCAAAUUUUCUAUUAAAAGCCAACUAGUUUUAUGAGGGCCAUAGACUUAGGGAUUUUAUUUGGCAUGUCACGCCUCAAACUAUUUCAAAGGGUUUUAUUAUUCGAAAUUGUUAUAAUCGGGUUAAAUGAAAUGCACCCCGAAUUGAAAUUCACGUAUCGUGACCAUGCCACGGGAACCGUACCCAUUGUCACGAUCAUUUAUAACUAAACAAAUGGAAUAUUAAACCAACAUGAACUAUAAACUAACAUGGGAAAACAAACUAUUUUUCUAAAGCACGAAGUUAAAUUAGCUUUAAACAAAUGAGGACACAUAUAGGGAAAUUUUAUUAUUAAAAAAAAAAAAAGACAACAGUCAUUAACGAAAAAACAGAGUAGCCACGACUAUGGCUUUUCCACAAGGAACGAAACGAAUUCUGUUCCAUCAAUUAUUCAAACGGGCGUGAAUGAAUUGGCUUAGCCUCAAUCAUGGCCAGAAAAUUUUUAACAAUCCAUUUGCAGCUUAAACUCAAAAAAAAAAGAUGGCAAAAGAAAAAAUCAAGUAGGAACACACAACUAAAUUCAGAUAUACAUAAAAAUUUGUGUUGACAUUUCUUCAAAAUACAACAAAUUUUCGCGGAUAUAGGUUAGCUAUAUAUAUUGAUUUCGAUCUGCUUAGAUUACCAAAUAUACCACUGGUUCAUUCUCAAAUUCCAACAAGAAUUCUCAUUUGCGUCCUGACAUUUAUGUGCAAUUUACCUAAAACUAGGUGAGCAAGAAAAAUUAUAAAAGCAAGUGUCAAUGCUUUAAUUUCCAACACCAAUCAACACAUAUGCUGUUCCAACAGAAUUUUUGAUUAGAAUGUCCAAAACGCUAAUUACCCAGUUUCAGAAAUCGUUUGACAUAUAUAGGGCAUAUAAUUUGGAAAACUUAAUACCUUUGCCAUAAUGUGCAUUUGAGAAGGAAAAGGAAGAGCUCAUCAAAUCCGAAGAAAUAAACCCAGCAAACACAUCUUCUUUACACCAAAAAAAAGCUUCGAUUGACUGAAAUUUUCAGCAAUUACACGAGCAAGGUGAGCCAAUAGCUAAAGUCGAAAUCUGAAAUGGAUGGAACUCAAGCGAAACAACUUCAAACAGCAACUCAACUCAAUCAACCUCCAUAUGUGAAGCCCAAAUCAACUAAGAAGUAGAAACUUAAAAUAUUUUGGAAUUUUUUGUUAAAAUUUCGGACAUCAAACAUCUUAAAGAAAGAAGCAUCAUAUUACAUGUUUCUGCCUUUUUCUAAAAAAUCCAAAGAAAUGAAAGAAUCAAAAGGAAAUUCCAAAAAUUCUCAAAGUUUUCCAUUUGUCCUCUCGUUCUCUGUUGAAGGAGGAAUGCGCCAUUUUUUGGUUCUUUUCAGGGAGGGGAGGGGAGGCGGUGGCUCCUCAAUUUUUGGGGGAGCUCGUUCUGGUCCAAAAAAAUGGAAAAAAAAAACAAGGAGGGAAUUUGGUGUUUUUAGAUGAUGAAGAUGAAGAAGACCAAAGGAGGGGUGGUGCCUGUUGUGUUUGUCUUUUUGAAAAUGGGGGAGCAGCUUUUCUCUGUUGUCGUUUCUUUUCUGAAAAAAUCAAGAAGAAGCCUUGGAAAUGGGAGGUGCUGUGGGCCGUUUCUUAGGGGUCUCCAAGAAAUAGAAAAAUCUUAUUUU
rnacentral:lncRNA from 1 species